UACGUAGGGCGCAAGCGUUGUCCGGAAUUAUUGGGCGUAAAGAGCUCGUAGGCGGUUUGUCGCGUCUGCUGUGAAAACCUAAGGCUCAACCUUGGGCUUGCAGUGGGUACGGGCAGACUAGAGUGCGGUAGGGGUGACUGGAAUUCCUGGUGUAGCGGUGGAAUGCGCAGAUAUCAGGAGGAACACCGAUGGCGAAGGCAGGUCACUGGGCCGCAACUGACGCUGAGGAGCGAAAGCAUGGGGAGCGAACAGG
rnacentral:ncRNA from 4 species